UCAAUUCAAGCCAUCCCAGAGCCAGGACUCAGGUUUCAUAGGACAAAAGGUGCUCUUAAUCCAGGUGACAAGCAGUGAACUCUGAGCAAGACAAGCAGUCAGAGCAAUCUACAGAAUUGCCUACAGGUGGAUGCGAGCAGCCAAGAAGCCACAGCAGAGAGAAGCCAGGACUGAAUGGUCUCCCAGGGUGAAGGAAGGCACGAGCCGCACCUGAAAGCCUUCGAACUCUGUGCCAUGACACCAGUAGAUGUCAGUUUAAUCUCAAAAAUGAAUGCCUCUGCAUAGAUGCUAGAUUUAUUAGCUUCUGCUUCAGUGAGGUUCCACCAAAAUGAACUAAACUAAAUGAAGUUGCGAAUCAGAAGUCAACGUACGUUCAAUGUGCAGAGAAACUCAGAGCUGGGGUUUGAAGGUUGCCAGGAAGCCGGGUACCUUGAGUGCUCGCUGCUUUGUGGUGUUAAUUUGGCCAUUAAUAGCUGAAGUUAUCCCCAGAUAAAUUCUAUGCAUGGCCAGGGAGAAGAGAAAAAGAGAACAGAGAGCCACAAAUACACCCUCAAUUUCAAAAACUGUUUCACGAGGACAAACACCCCGUGACUGAUGGACAGUCUCACAACUGCACCAACAUGGAAACUGCAGGGAAAACAAAGCAAAAAGCCCCCUCACGUGACAGAUAAGAGAAGUGAUGUCUUCAAGUCAGCUCUCAGACAUGUUAUCUUGCAUCAAUCUUAUUUCUCAAUUCCUAUUUUCUUCCAGUAUCUUUUACACUUCCCCUGGUGCUGGAAACCAAUGGGAUGAAAAGGGAGAACUAUCUAAAAGGUGUUGAGCUUUGGAACUGCUCUCAGGUCUCUUCAUCCCGUGCCUCACCUCCCCCCGCAGUGCAUGGCCAGGGGCUGCCGCCUUCCUGGCCAGGGCAGCUCUUAGUUGUAUCUCAGCAGCUCCUGGACACCAAGCACCUGCCAUCCUCUUUCCUUCUCUUCCGAGCAUGCACCCUCCUCGUUGUACAUGCCGGCUUAGCACAGCUGUGAAAGGAAAAGAUUAGUUACCUUCUCUGCAAGCUGGUAACGUGCUGGGCGCCAUACUUGGGAGGGGCUGGAAAAUGAAUGGGUUUAUUACAUGAAAGAGAGAAGCAGCACAACUAAUUGGAAACCACAAAUGAUCCUCCAGGACUGGAACUGGUUGACAGCACUGCUAAAUUGACCCAAAGCUACUAUGAGGACUUGAACGUCCUGACUUAUGUUGAUUAAUUGCUUUGAUCAAUUCUAGAUCAUUAAUUUAAAAUUAAUUAUGAAGAAAAUAACAAAGAACUUUACAUUUGAUAAUUUUACAACUGGUAGCAAGCAAUUCAUAUCCCAGCAAACAGAUUACUGUUUCCUCAAAAGGAAGGGCACAAAGCAAACUCAAAUAACUACACUUACAAAAUCAGUGUCCCAGGAGAGGGACUGUCCACGCUCAGCCACUAACUCGUACUAUUUUACACAUUGCACUACUGGGCAAUUUUAUGGCAUACACACACACGCAAAAUAAUCUUCGUCUCAAAGACUCAGACAUAACAUGCCUCGUCCAUAAGAUGGCGUACGUUGCGUCCAAAACACUUUGCAACAUCAGACACAGAGGCUUAAAUCCUUGACAAAGUUACUCCCCUGCACCCUGCUACCACCAACCAAACGAGAAUUUCCUUCACCCAGAGGGCCCGCAAAUCUGACCUCAGCAAAUGCCAUGGAAAGCCAACUUCACCACCACGAGACAGGGCGAAUCGCUUGGAUGAGAACGUGGAUGUCCUUCUGCUGAGGAUGAUUUUAUGGGACUGUGGUUUGAGCAAAUGUCACGGACAGGACAUUAUUUAUUAGUGUGAUUCGUGGCAAGAAAGGAAAAAGAUCAAUUUAAAAUCACUCAUAUGCAGAGAUGGAAGUUACAUCAGUUGCUCCUUAAAGAUACAAAAGCCCCACCCACUCCUAAGCCCCUCAGCAGCUUUAUAUCCCAUACAUACAAUUCAUGCAAUUACAUUUCCCAUACAUACACAAAUUACAGUGGGAGGGGCUGAGUUUUUUUAUGAAUAAGAACACUGCAGUGUUAAUAGACUAUUGCUGGAAUAUUUUCAUUUAGUAGCAGCAGCCUUGCACUGAAGCUGGAGUUUGCAGUGCCAUAUUGUUCAGCAUUUAAGCUGCAAUAUCAUCCUCGUGGAAAUGGGGCUAUGCGUUCAGCCAUACAGCAUCAUUCUGGGAACCACUGACAGGAAGACAGACAGGCAGACAGGAAGGAAGGGAAAGAAAGAAAAGAAGGGAGGAAGGAAGGGAGGAAAGAAGGAAGGAAGGAAGGAAAAGAAAGAGCUUUCCUUUGCUUCAGUACAAGCACAGUAGAUGCUCCUGGCUGUGGUUAUCUGAAGUACUUAGGACACCUCAGUACAAUUCAAAAAAUUCUGUCUUCAGCAGCAGCUGCUGAAUUCUCCAUUAUGCAGUAAAAACAGGAUGGGUGAUAACAGCACUGCCAGGACUGUCACUGACAAAGCUUUACUUGCCACUCUGCUCUUUCAACAGGCUACGUGACAGCAAGCGAGAAAUACGAAUGAUUCCUUGAGAACUGCGAGAUAGACCGGAUAAAACCGCCCUAUUUGGGCUGCCAGUGAUGCAAAUAGGCAUCAUGGGUAACAGAGAGGAUCACACCAUCUCUUUCCACUUGAAUUAAAGAAAAUCAGCGCCUGAGAACUAGGGCAGGGCAAACAGAGAGAGCCCCAGCACUUUAUCAGAACCCUCCAUAUCCAAAUCCUACCAAAAGCACUCAAGCAGCAGUUUUUUUUCCUCUUUCAGCCAUUUUUAGACCCAAAAAAGACUUUCUAGUUGUCAGCUUUCUACCCAAUCACUUCUUGCAUGCUGUUGUGCAGGCUGUGCAGGUGGUGUCAGAGCACAGGGCAUGUAACACAAGGAGCUGCGUUGCUGCCAGAGAGCAACAGCUGAAGUCACCUGGCUGCUUGCUUCAUGGCAAAAGCAAGCUCUGCUCAGCUCCAGGGAUGGGGUCAGUCACUCCUCCACCCCUCGCUGGAUUGUAACCCUGCAUGGGAAGCAGGCUGUGUCUGCAGCACCAGCUAUCUGCUCCAUUCCGCUGCUUGGGUGCGAGGUCACACCGCAGAGACGAGCACAUCUGCUCCAUCCUGGCCAUGCAGCAAUAAAUAAUUGUAACCCUGUGCAAAGCUGCAGAUAAGCCAGAGGCACCUGCAGCUUGGUUGGAAAGAAGCCAAGCAUUUUUAUCUUCUUUCCCAACAGAAAAAAAGAACAAUCUGUUGCAUUCGGUACAUUUAUUCAGUGAACGCAGCUAAUGGUGAAGGAGCAGCAGCACACACAGCUGCAGGUUCUCCUGCCUCUUUUGUUUUGGAUGAACUGCCAUGCAAUGGCAGUGCUGCAUGCCGUACACACUGCUCCUCUCCCUGUUAUAAACCAGCUCUGCUUUCUACCAAGGAGUUUGCUUAGAACUGAUGCCUCCUCUUUGAUGGGGAAUGAGAUCCCUUUAACCAAGAAACAGGUUUUUCAGGCACACAAUACCAAAAAGAAAAGCAAAAAGCACAAAUAAAUAAAUACAGCCAGUAAAAGGUGAAGCUCUAUUUUAUAAUACCAACUUUCAGCAGCAGAGUAUGCUGGACUGCAUUUUGAGAAAUGCUUUCACAUGCAUCACAAACAAAGAUUGAAGCUCUUCAUUUGCUUGUAUCAAGUGAAGCUGGGUUUCCCAGCCAUCGCCCACAAGCACGGCUGGCUGCCCACACUUUUGUCUCUUCCCACGCUGUCAGCAGGAAGGUGGUAGUAAGAAAUACCAAAAUUUGAACAUUUUAGCAAAAGCCAGCGUGGUUUCCUGCUUUCCAAGAGGGACCUACUGAUCUUCCUGGAUGAGGUGUAUGAGCCCAAGGAUUUGGGGGUUCUCUUUAUGCGGUCUCUAAAGCUCCUGGAGCCACUUCGGGAAUUGAACAGAAACACAUAAAUGUCAGUUAUUUCCCUUGUUAAGGGGUUUGCCUUUCAUUGCUUCUCACAUCAUAUCCAUUGCACUUCACUUCCAUAAGCACCUUUAGAUUCUUUGGCAGACGAGGUGUGGAAAAAGAGGAUAGCGCUGAACGUGGGAAAAAAGAGGGUCAGUUUCCAAAACACCUCAGUGAGAACUUCAAACUCUUCUACUUUAUUCAAAAAGCAUGUUAAAAUUGGGGGAAAAAAGGUGACUAAAUAGACUCCAUGCUAAUUUUGCUCUUUAUGAGAUAGGUUUUGCCUUCUAUCAGGCUCUGACGAAAUCUGAAGUUAAAGGACAAGUUUGUGUCACGCAGCCAGGCCCCGCAAGCACUGGGCCGGGGCCGUCCCCAUGGUCACAGCAGGAUGCCCACCAGUGAGAACCAGCUGCUGUCUCCCUCCUUCCCUAGCAUUCUGUAAGCACGGGUAGUGUAACUCCUGCUGGGGAAUCCGCACUGUGCAGUUCAGCUGCUAAUCAGGUCUUCACUCUAACAAAAUUGUUUCCAUUUAAUGUUAAUUACAUUGGCAAUUUGCUGCUGACAGUUUCUAAUUUCUGUCACCAAGGGCAUUCUGGACAUGGGGAAACUGCACAUUCAGUUCUUGGUCUGAUCCUGCUUUGUGCUCCCUGGUUCAAUGGGCUGCUUAAAUAAUUAUUUUUAAAUCGCUCUGUGACUGUUCAGCUGCAGUUCUGUGUCACGGGCUGCAGUGACAUUGGAUGCCCUUCGAACAGCUGUGCAAAACCAAGAGCUCUAUUCACUAGCACAACACUUUGGGAAGUGAAUCUCAAAGCAGCUGCAGCAGGCUGGCAAUCUGCACAGCCAAUUACAUCACUCGAGCACCACCACAGGAUUCCCAGUUAAGCGC